GUGAAUCAUCAAAUCUUUGAACGCAAAUUGCACUCUCUUGGGAGAGUAUGCCCGUUUGAGGUCCAGCCUCUAAAAAUCGAUAUCGUUGCUGUUUCGCGGUGGCGAUCGUCGGAAACUGGGUCAUCUUAUAUACUUUUGAUUUAAGCGAUUCAAUAUUCUUUUUUGGUUCUAUGCACGUUUCUAAGAUCUAUUUCUUUACACGUUUAAGGUAUCGAUUUUUACUAGUUGCGACGAUCAUAUUGGAACGCGUCCAUAAUCUUACAUUAAUUG
rnacentral:misc_RNA from 1 species